rnacentral:rRNA from 1 species
GACGAACGCUGGCGGCGUGCUUAACACAUGCAAGUCGAACGGAAAGGCCCUGCUUUUGUGGGGUGCUCGAGUGGCGAACGGGUGAGUAACACGUGAGUAACCUGCCCUUGACUUUGGGAUAACUUCAGGAAACUGGGGCUAAUACCGGAUAGGAGCUCCUGCUGCAAGGUGGGGGUUGGAAAGUUUCGGCGGUUGGGGAUGGACUCGCGGCUUAUCAGCUUGUUGGCGGGGUAGUGGCUUACCAAGGCUUUGACGGGUAGCCGGCCUGAGAGGGUGACCGGCCACAUUGGGACUGAGAUACGGCCCAGACUCCUACGGGAGGCAGCAGUGGGGAAUAUUGCACAAUGGGCGGAAGCCUGAUGCAGCAACGCCGCGUGCGGGAUGACGGCCUUCGGGUUGUAAACCGCUUUCGCCUGUGACGAAGCGUGAGUGACGGUAAUGGGUAAAGAAGCACCGGCUAACUACGUG